rnacentral:rRNA from 1 species
AAUGCCAGUCUCAGAGAACAAUAUCCAGCCUUAUAUAACAUCGCUCGCGAUAAGAAUAAUACUAUUACGCACGUGCUCGGUUCUUCCCCGCCGAAUAUUUCGUUCAGGCGGGAUUUGAUUGGCCCCCAGCUUGUGUCAUGGCAUAAUCUUUUAUCCCGGCUGGAUUUGAUUAACCUGGCACAAGGUCGGGAUGUGUUUCGCUGAAACCUUACUACAUCAGGGUCUUUUACAGUAGAUUCUAUGUACCGUGCACUCACGCAUGCUGAGGUACCAAUGAGUAAUAAUAAGAAAAUUUGA